GAUGAACGCUGGCUACAGGCUUAACACAUGCAAGUCGAGGGGAAACGACGGGGAAGCUUGCUUCCCCGGGCGUCGACCGGCGCACGGGUGAGUAACGCGUAUCCAACCUGCCUCUGACUGAGGGAUAACCCGUCGAAAGUCGGCCUAAUACCUCAUGGUAUCGUCUGCGGGCAUCCAACGACGAUUAAAGAUUUCAUCGGUCAGGGAUGGGGAUGCGUCUGAUUAGCUUGUUGGCGGGGUAACGGCCCACCAAGGCUACGAUCAGUAGGGGUUCUGAGAGGAAGGUCCCCCACAUUGGAACUGAGACACGGUCCAAACUCCUACGGGAGGCAGCAGUGAGGAAUAUUGGUCAAUGGGCGAGAGCCUGAACCAGCCAAGUAGCGUGCAGGAAGACGGCACUAUGGGUUGUAAACUGCUUUUAUGCGGGGAUAAAGUGAGGGACGUGUCCCUCAUUGCAGGUACCGCAUGAAUAAGGACCGGCUAAUUCCGUG
rnacentral:rRNA from 1 species